CUGUGCUCGCAUCCAUAUCCAUGGCAACAACGCCAUUGCCAUGCAUGCAAUGCAAUGCAAUGCAAUGCAGCUAGCUAGCUACUCAUCAUCAACGGUUAGAAAGAGAGAGAGAGGUGUGGGGGUACUGUAGCUCUAGCUACUCAUCAUCGUGGCCAUGGCUGUCCACCUCGUCGUCGUCCUGAUCAUCGCCGGCCCUGCCCUUGCCAAUGCCGUCCUCCUCCCCGUCGCCAUCGUCCUCUCCACCUUCAUUAUUAGCGUUGUUAUUGCCGCCGGAGACCUGCUCCCUGUCCAUCCCGAACCCCGGCGGGCCGUAGCGCACGUCGGGGUACUUGACCACCGCGUCCAGCAGCUCCGAGCUCGCCUGCUUGGCCUCGCCUCCCCCGGCAUUGGCCUCGCCGUCGCGCGCCGCCGCCGCCGAGUGGCCCGAGCGGGAGUAGAGCCUGUCCAGCUCGUCGAAGUAGGGGCACGUCUUUGCGUGCGCCGGCCGCUUCUUGCCGCUCUCCUUGGCCUUGCGGAAGUACUUGUUGAUGUUCUCCCACUUCUCCUUGCAGCGCUUGGCGCUGCGGCCGUAGCCCGCCGCCGCCAUGCGCGCGCUCACCUCCUCCCACAGCGGGCCCUUGAGCCCGGGCUCCUGGAACCGCCCUUCCAGCCCCGUCCGCACCCGGAUCAGCGCCUCCACCUCGUGCUUGGGCCACCGCGACGUGCUGAGGUGCAGCGACCCGCCGGCGCCGCCCCCAUCGUGCGCCGUCGCGUCCCCGCCGUCGUACGGCACCAGCUCCUUGCCGUUGCCGGCCGCCGUCGCGUCCUGGCUCGUGUCGUCGCCGGACGCCGCGGCGGGCGGUGGGAGCGUGAUGGACUCGCCCGAGAUCUUUUCCAGGUAGGCGAUGAUGGCGGCCUCCCGCGCCGCGGCGCUAGCGCGGUCCUGCGCGCGCGCGCCGGCCUCGCGGGCGAACUUGUCGGCCUCCUGCCGCCGCCAGGCCUCGUCCCGCGCAGCGCGCUCCCGCUCGCGCCGCUCCAUGGCCUCCAGGAACUGCCGGUGGAGGCUCUCCUGGUGCUCCAUCAGACGCUGCACGAGCCGCUCGAAGAAGGACGCCGACGCGCUCAGCUGCUCCUGCUGCUGCUGCCGCCGACGCUUCCGCUUGCGCCGCGCCGCGUCCGUCGACGGCUGGAGCUGCGGCUGCGGCUGCACCACCGCGGCCGCCUCCUCCCCGGCCGACGUCUCCGACGUGUUGAGCUGCGGGCCCGCGGCCGCGGCCGCCACGUCCGGGAGGUCCGCCAUGGCCGGCUCGAGGAUGGCAUUGUCGUCUCCGGUGAGGCCGGAGCCGGAGCCCGUCUGGGCGACGCCCGCGCCGCCGCUCCCCGGCUUGUAGAUGGCCUCCAGCUCGCUGAACAGCUUGUAGUUGCCGCCGCCCGCGGCCGCAGCGGCUGCGGCAGCAGCGGCAUUAUCGUCGCCUUUCUUGAAGUAAUUGGCGGCGGCAACCGGCGCGGGGGACUCCGGCGUGGCCACCUUCUCCUUCCCCGUCCUCUUGCUGCUGCUCGAGCUGUGUAAGUAGUCGAUGUCCAGCGGCCGCCUGCGCAAAACAUUUUGAUGGUGAGAUGGAGAAGAAAGGUGCCACAUUUUGAUUCACACUGCUGCAUCUACAUGCUAGGUAGAAAGACGAAGAGAAAGAAAUUGUUGCAUGCAAGAACAAGAUGCGGGCUUUUGUUUGUCCAUGUCACCCCUAAACUUUUUGUUGGGGGUGAGGUAAUCAUCGAAUCCCUCCAUCCAUCGUCGUCGUGGUCUCAAAGACAAAAGGGUCCGUCCGUCCUCCGAGCGAGAGACGAGAAGCAGAAGCAUAGCAUAGCAUAGCGCAAGGAAUGCAGAGCUGAAAAGUAGGUGCUCGAGUGAGAAUGAUUUGAGCGAGGGAGGGAGGGAGGGAGGGAGAAGGGGAGAGGGGAAUCGCCAUCAGCAUCAGCCAUCAUCAGCAGCUGCAGUUCUAUCUCAAUCAUGGCACUAUUAUUGCUCGUCCUCUGCUCCCUCCCCACGAGCAUGAGCAAUAGCAUCCGAAGCAGAGCAAAGAACCAAACAAGAUGCCAUCUUUUUUUCUCUCGUCUUUCCUUUCGAUUUCCACCAAGAAUUCAUUUCGAGAUUUGGGGGAGGGAAGAUGCACAAGCACAAAGAGCACAGCCGCCUACCAGGUGGGUUCUUUAAUGGAGGUCUCCUCGUCGCCGGCCCAGCGGCGGAGGCGACUCUCUGUGGCGGCCUCGUCGUCGCCACCGCCGCCGCCGCCAACGUGGAGCAUCAUGCCGCUGCCCGCGGCGCCACCGCCGUCGUUGAGGGCGUCGUCGGUGCCUCCCGUGGCGCCGCUGCCGCCGCCGGCGUCGACCGCAAGCUUGAAGUUCAUGGCGGCUGCCAAGAACGGGGGCACGCCCGGAGGCGCGGCGCCGCCCGAGGCCGCGGCGCCCGCAGCCCCCGAGCUCUCCGGCACGGCAGCCUCGACGUCAAAUCCGAGGUGGUGGUGGUGGUGGUGAUGCGUCUGGGCCUGCGGCUGCUGCUGCUGGUGGUGGUGCUGCUGCUGCUGCGGCUGCGGUGCCCAUCUGGCCGGCAGCUGGUGGUGCUGCGGAUGCGGCGGCGGCGGCUGGGGCUUGUGGUGGUGGUGAUGCUGCUGCUGCUGCUCGUGGAAGAGCUGGAGGUGGUGGUGCCCCGCGGCGGCCGCCUGGUGCAGCAGCUGCUGCGUGAAGGGCGGCGGCGGGGCGGCGCCGAAGUGGGCGAAGUGCGGCGGCAUGUGCGGCGCGUGGUGGUGGUGCUGCGGCGGCAGCGCGUGGUGGUGCAGAGGCUGGUACCUGAAGGGCCCGCCCAGCUCCUGGGCGGAGGCGGCGGCGGGCUGGGGCGGCUGCUGCUGAGGCGGCGGCGCGGACAUGGCGAAGCCGCCGUCCAUGAUGAACUGCUGGAACUCGGACACGCCGCCGUAGCCGGACUGCAUGGCGGACUGGACUGGACUGGACUGGAGGCGAAGUGAUUAGUAGUGGUGGUGGUACUCACUGGCCACUCCCACUGGGCAGUUACUGGUAGCUAGGGAGGGGAGGUGAGCUGACCUCGGCGGUGAUGGUGAUGGUGAAGCUUGGUUUGGCU
rnacentral:lncRNA from 1 species